UACGGAGGGUGCAAGCGUUAUCCGGAUUCACUGGGUUUAAAGGGUGCGUAGGAGGGCAGGGAAGUCCGUGGUGAAAUCCUAGAGCUUAACUCUAGAACUGCCGUGGAUACUCUCUGUCUUGAAUCCCGUGGAGAUGAGCGGAAUAUGUCAUGUAGCGGUGAAAUGCUUAGAUAUGACAUAGAACACCAAUUGCGAAGGCAGCUCGUUACACGAAGAUUGACUCUGAGGCACGAAAGCGUGGGGAUCAAAC
rnacentral:rRNA from 1 species